AUGUGCGCAAAGGCACCAAUAAUCGUCAAGAUUCUGUCUAGGUGGUUAUCGAGAAGAGUGAAGAAAAGAAGAGAAGGAAGAAGAUACUUGAGUGAGAUGAAAAGAAGUAACCAGGGGGCUUGCUAUAGAAGAGAGGGGAUCUACUUCGGCAGGAAGAAGACAGAAGGAGGGCAAAAGGGCAAAGUGGCAGAUCUGAUCGAGAGGGGGUCAAAAUCCCUAGGGUGGCCUUCGAUCCCCUCGGGCCUGGCAUCUCUUCUCCUCUCCCUCACCCCUUCUUCUCCACCUCCGGCCGCCGCCGCGGCCAGGCCGGCGUGGCGGCGCGCCACAACGCCUUCCAGCCAUCCAGCCACCUUCUUCUCUGAACCCAAACUGCUGCUGCUUCUCUUCUCUCUUUACUUCUUGCAAAAUUCUGUAAACUGCUAG
rnacentral:rRNA from 1 species